rnacentral:rRNA from 1 species
CCUACGGGCGGCUGCAGUGGGGAAUAUUGGACAAUGGGGGCAACCCUGAUCCAGCCAUGCCGCGUGUGUGAAGAAGGCCCUCGGGUUGUAAAGCACUUUCAGUGAGGAAGAACGCCUGGUGGUUAAUACCCAUCAGGAAAGACAUCACUCACAGAAGAAGCACCGGCUAACUCCGUGCCAGCAGCCGCGGUAAUACGGAGGGUGCGAGCGUUAAUCGGAAUUACUGGGCGUAAAGCGCGCGUAGGUGGCUUGAUAAGCCGGUUGUGAAAGCCCCGGGCUCAACCUGGGAACGGCAUCCGGAACUGUCAAGCUAGAGUGCAGGAGGGGAAGGUAGAAUUCCCGGUGUAGCGGUGAAAUGCGUAGAGAUCGGGAGGAAUACCAGUGGCGAAGGCGGCCUUCUGGACUGACACUGACACUGAGGUGCGAAAGCGUGGGUAGCAAACAGGAUUAGAUACCCUAGUAGUC